CCUACGAGCGGCAGCAGUGGGGAAUAUUGCACAAUGGGGGAAACCCUGAUGCAGCGACGCCGCGUGAGUGAAGAAGUAUUUCGGGAUGUAAAGCUCUAUCAGCAGGGAAGAAGAAAGACGGUACCUGACUAAGAAGCCCCGGCUAACUACGUGCCAGCAGCCGCGGUAAUACGUAGGGGGCAAGCGUUAUCCGGAUUUACUGGGUGUAAAGGGAGCGUAGACGGCUGUGCAAGUCUGAAGUGAAAGCCCAGGGCUCAACCCUGGGACUGCUUUGGAAACUGUGGAGCUAGAGUGCUGGAGAGGUAAGUGGAAUUCCUAGUGUAGCGGUGAAAUGCGUAGAUAUUAGGAGGAACACCAGUGGCGAAGGCGGCUUACUGGACAGUAACUGACGUUGAGGCUCGAAAGCGUGGGGAGCAAACAGGAUUAGAUACCCGUGUAGUC
rnacentral:rRNA from 1 species